AAUUACUUCCAAGCUUUGUUUUCCUCUGUCAACAUAAUCACCUAGAAACAGAUAGUUGGCUUCUGGAGGGAAUCCUCCGUACUCAAAAAGUCGAAGAAGAUCGUAAUAUUGGCCAUGAAUAUCUCCACAAAUUUUCAAAGGAGCUUCAAGCUCUAGAAGGAUAGGUUGACUAAUAAAUAUUUCACGUGCUUUGUUACAUAAAAAUCGUAUUUCAUCUUCAGAUAAUUGAACCUGUCUACCUGGACGACUACCACGGACUAAAAGAAGUUAGUAAAUAGCUAAAUGGUUUAAAUGGUAAAAUUAA